rnacentral:rRNA from 1 species
GACGAACGCUGGCGGCGUGCUUAACACAUGCAAGUCGAACGAGUGGCGGACGGGUGAGUAAUGCUUGGGAAUCUGGCUUAUGGAGGGGGAUAACGACGGGAAACGGUAGCUAAUACCGCAUACCAUCAGAUGUGCCCAGAUGGGAUGAGCUAGUAGUGGGGGUAACGGCUCACCUAGGCGACGAUCCCUAGCUGGUCUGAGAGGCGGACCAGCCACACUGGAACUGAGACACGGUCCAGACUCCUACGGGAGGCAGCAGUGGGGAAUAUUGCACAAUGGGCGCAAGCCUGAUGCAGCCAUGCCGCGUGUGUGAAGAAGGCCUUCGGGUUGUAAAGCACUUUCAGCGGGGAGGCGUUACCCGCAGAAGAAGCACCGGCUAACUCCGUGCCAGCCGCCGCGGUAAUAC